GGCCUCGUAGCUCAGAUGAUAAGAGAGUUGGCUGUACGAAUGCCUUCCUUUAAUGGCGUGGGUUCGAAUCCUAACGAGGCCG
rnacentral:tRNA from 1 species